rnacentral:rRNA from 1 species
GUGAGGAAUAUUGGACAAUGGGCGCAAGCCUGAUCCAGCCAUGCCGCGUGCAGGAAGACGCAUCUAUGGUGUGUAAACUGCUUUUGUACGGGAAGAAACACUCCCUCGUGAGGGAGCUUGACGGUACCGUAAGAAGAAGGAUCGGCUAACUCCGUGCCAGCAGCCGCGGUAAUACGGAGGAUCCAAGCGUUAUCCGGAAUCAUUGGGUUUAAAGGGUCCGUAGGCGGUUUAAUAAGUCAGUGGUGAAAGCCCAUCGCUCAACGAUGGAACGGCCAUUGAUACUGUUAGACUUGAAUUACAAGGAAGUAACUAGAAUAUGUAGUGUAGCGGUGAAAUGCUUAGAUAUUACAUGGAAUACCAAUUGCGAAGGCAGGUUACUACUUGUGGAUUGACGCUGAUGGACGAAAGCGUGGGGAGCGAACAGGAUUAGAUACCCUUGUAGUCC